GAAGUCACUCUCCUCCUUGAUCAUCUUCUCCUCCAACUUCCGUUCGAGUGUCCUCACCCUCAGUAGAGGAAAAACUGAGGCCCCUCUUCAGGGCAAUUCUACAUCAAGCCAUUAUAUGACUAACUGCCUUGUCCGUGGCAUUGAGCCCAGGCCACCCAGGAAGUAGAUGAAUGACUGCAGCUCCUCUCCACAACACAGCUCAGCUGUGUUGGGUGCCACACUGCCCUCACUUACUGCUUCAUAACUUAUCUGCAGCGUCCGCAGGUGUCUGUCCCCUAGGGAGUCUUCAUGAGCUGUAAAGUCUGCAUGAGGACUCCCAGCUGGAGACGCUGGGGAGAUCCUGGAGUCAGUGUCACUCAGCGUCCAUGGGGGCAAAGACUCGGGACCUGCCAGCUCUGAUGCGUUGGAGAAAAAGGAAAGGCUGAGGUUCUUGGUUUUCAAAAACUCUUUGAAGGAGAAUGGAUUGGCUUCUUCAAGGUCUUCAAGUUUGUCACCUGAAAAAAACGAACACCACAGAAGACUGUGAAAGGGCCCAACAUCCUGUGUUACCAUCACAUUUCAAAUGUGACUCAAAGAACACUACAGAACAUGAGAGCUGCCCAAAGAGGUUAGAGAAUAG
rnacentral:lncRNA from 1 species